CAUUCCGCUUGCCCUUUGCCCACCGGAAACGGAAAUUACCGCGCCUGACCUCCUGCCUGCUUGCCGUAGGUGCAGGGUGUCCCAAGAUAGGGGGUUGCCCGAUAUGGGGCGUGCGAACAGUCCAGAGAAGCUGGCAGGGAAGAGGCGACUCAGCGCUUUUCUCUUCCGCAAUCCUUUCCCCGGGACCACAAAUCCCAGAAGUCACUGCGGCCGCCCCCACCCCAUUAUUACCCUCCGAGGCUGGUAGUCCGGGCCGCCCGGGCAAGGAGCGCCCUCUAGCGGCAGACGAGAGCGUCGGCGCGUGGGCGCCCACAACUCGGAAGCGCGGGAAGCUACGGCUGCGCCGGCUGAGUGCGCGCGGAGAGGACAGCCCUGGCGGUACCACGAGGUCCAUCCAGUCAGCAGGUCUUGGAGUUAAGUCAACAGGAGAAGAGUCAAGUGACGUUACAGAUGAGAUAUACGUCUGAUUUCUUUCUUCCUUCGCCCUCCAUCUCAGAGAAGUGUGCUGUCUAGCCGUUAGAAGACCAAAAGAGAAAUUUCCAUAAGGGAAAAAAAGGAAAGAAAAAUGAUGGUAGAAGAAACAAAGUUUGCAGUUUUUUAAAAAAUCUUCAUCAGAAAUGACCUGCCCAAAUUUGAGAAGAUUUGUCAUCAUCACUUUUGCCUUAUUUAAACUAUUCCGUGGAACCAUAUGCAACUGGUAAAAUUGAUGGACUUUUUUACCUACAAAACAGUAAUUUCAUAUGUAAUUCAAUGUAUACUACUACAAAAACAAACAUGUCAUUGAUUGAAUCAAAAUUUUCUCAUUCCCUGAGAUGAACAAAAGGGAAAAAUAUGAUAAUUUAUAAGAUCAGAACUCAAAUAGCAACACAGAAAUUUACUAUGAAAAAAUAUUAGUCCCCAUGAGAAUAUGUAAAAGUCAAACAUGAAGCAUACUAUAGAAAAUCUUAAAGAAUCACUACCAAAUCUAAUACCCAACCAGGGUCCUUUUUAUUAGCUCUUUUUUUAAAUUAAAAAGUAAUACACUGGGCUUCGCAGGUGGUGCAGUGGUUGAGAGUCCACCUGCCGAUGCAGGGGACACGGGUUCAUGCCCCCGUCCUGGAAGAUCCCACAUGCCGCGGAGCGGCUGGGCCCGUGAGCCAUGGCCGCUGAGCCUGCGCGUCCAGAGCCUGUGCUCCGCAACGGGAGAGGCCACAACAGUGAGAGGCCCGCGUACCGCAAAAAAAAAAAAAGUAAUACACUGACAAGUUCAGGUUUCUGGUAACUGACUAUACUGCUGAACUGAAUGAAUAAGCAUUUUCAGAACUCUAAUGGAAAACUGAUGAAUUCAUAAAAGUGCUAACAAAAGAUCAAGAUAAAAAAAUAAUAAUUACAUGGGACUGAGUGAACUGAUGAGGAUGAUUAUAAUUUUUGUGACUUUCUGUUUGAAUUUAAAAAAAGUUAAAAAAAAAAGUAACUUACUGGUGUCCUAAGAACUAGUGAGGAGUGACAAAACUGACAGAUCAAAGCACCCUUCCCCCACUUCUGACUUUAACUCCUCCACCUUAUUCUGUAAGCACCUAUUUUUCUGAUCAGAUAUUAUCCUGUUUGAAAUGCCUAGAAGAGAUUAUAUUUUCCUUACUGAACCCCAAGUAUAUUAUUACAAUACUUAGCUAAGAGUGAAUUCCCCUCUAUUUUAGUUACAGUAUACACAUUUACUUUAAUAAAAAAAUAUUGUAUUCAGAAUUUCAUUAAAGCAACUUUGUAGAUGUAUGGAAUAAAAAAAAAGUAAUAUAAUGUUCACUGCUACAAUUUCAAAACAAAUAA